rnacentral:rRNA from 1 species
CCCUUAGAUGUCCGGGGCUGCACGCGCGCUACACUGAAGGAAUCAGCGUGCUAAAACCAUUGUCGAAAGGCAUUGGUAAACCCAUUAAAAUCCUACGGGAUUGGGAUCGGGAAUUGCAAUUAUUUCCCUUGAACGAGGAAUUCCCAGUAAGUGUGGGUCAUAAGCUCGCGUUGAUUACGUCCCUGCCCUUUGUACACACCGCCCGUCGCUGCCCGGGACUGAGCCGUUUCGAGAAAAGCGGGGACUGCUGCUGUCGGGGCUUUCGGGCCUUGGCUUCGGUGGAAACCGCUUUAAUCGCAGUGGCUUGAACCGGGCAAAAGUCGUAACA